AUGUCUGAGGAAGCAGAAUCUAAAAUGCAGCUUUGAAGCUGGAUCCCUUGCUGGCUGCAGGGAAAUGAGAACCCUGCCACUGGUAUUAGGUGGGGAACUGAUAGCCCCUAGCAUGCUAUAGCAGUGCAGUUGUUAGAACUUCUACAAGUUCUGAGCUGGAAUAGGACACGAGUGGAAGAAGAAAAAGUCGAAGAUCAAUUCCAGGACUUAAUUAUGGGAGCAGUGGAACUGCAGAGAAGGCUGUCAUUUCAACCUCAGCAAGUCUACUAUACCAAGAUCAGGGCCUAGGUAGGAAGCAGAAGGACUCUUGAGAUUUGAAAUGGGGACAUCUAGGUUAAUUUCCUCAAAAACCUUGUACCUGCCUGUUUCUUUGAAUCCUCUGGGCCCACAUAAGUAGCCCACUCCCCAAUAAAUCCUGUUUGAAGAUGA